ACUCCUACGGGAGGCAGCAGUGGGGAAUUUUGGACAAUGGGCGAAAGCCUGAUCCAGCAAUGCCGCGUGAGUGAAGAAGGCCUUCGGGUUGUAAAGCUCUUUUGUCAGGGAAGAAACGGUGAAAGCUAAUAUCUUUUGCUAAUGACGGUACCUGAAGAAUAAGCACCGGCUAACUACGUGCCAGCAGCCGCGGUAAUACGUAGGGUGCAAGCGUUAAUCGGAAUUACUGGGCGUAAAGCGUGCGCAGGCGGUUUUGUAAGUCUGAUGUGAAAUCCCCGGGCUCAACCUGGGAAUUGCAUUGGAGACUGCAAGGCUAGAAUCUGGCAGAGGGGGGUAGAAUUCCACGUGUAGCAGUGAAAUGCGUAGAUAUGUGGAGGAACACCGAUGGCGAAGGCAGCCCCCUGGGUCAAGAUUGACGCUCAUGCACGAAAGCGUGGGGAGCAAACAGGAUUAGAAACCCGAGUAGUCC
rnacentral:rRNA from 1 species